AUUGAAAGGGCUUUGUUAUAAGAUCAUUAUGAUCUUCUUGAAGUCCGGCCUUAACUAUUUUAUUUAUUAUUUAUUUUGAAUCUUAAGACUUGUAAAUGUUACACCUUUAACAUACGAAACUUUUAAAUGUUUUAUACUGAAAAAAUAAUAAGAGAUGAGCCUAGGCGAGCUGGGAAAAAUUGUAAUCAAAAUGAAAGAAAUCAGGCUAGGCGAGAACUCAAUAGAUAUUUAAAAUUUGCAAAGUCAAUCAUUAGGUAAUAGUGUUUAAGCAAAUUAGUUGCCACAAUCAAGAUUAAUCAGAUGACGUGUUUGUUCAAUAUAGACAUACAGUUGAAAACUAUUAAAAGUUCUUAUGUUUUUUUAAAUUAGAUAAAAAAU